UGGGGAAUAUUGCACAAUGGGCGCAAGCCUGAUGCAGCCAUGCCGCGUGUGUGAAGAAGGCCUUCGGGUUGUAAAGCACUUUCAGCGAGGAGGAAGGGUAGUGUGUUAAUAGCACAUUGCAUUGACGUUACUCGCAGAAGAAGCACCGGCUAACUCCGUGCCAGCAGCCGCGGUAAUACGGAGGGUGCAAGCGUUAAUCGGACUUACUGGGCGUAAAGCGCACGCAGGCGGUUUGUUAAGUCAGAUGUGAAAUCCCCGCGCUUAACGUGGGAACUGCAUUUGAAACUGGCAAGCUAGAGUCUUGUAGAGGGGGGUAGAAUUCCAGGUGUAGCGGUGAAAUGCGUAGAGAUCUGGAGGAAUACCGGUGGCGAAGGCGGCCCCCUGGACAAAGACUGACGCUCAGGUGCGAAAGCGUGGGGAGCAAACA
rnacentral:rRNA from 1 species